GACGAACGCUGGCGGCGUGCUUAACACAUGCAAGUCGAGCGGUAAGGCCCUUUCGGGGGUACACGAGCGGCGAACGGGUGAGUAACACGUGGGUGACCUGCCCUCAGCUCUGGGAUAAGCCUGGGAAACCGGGUCUAAUACUGGAUAUGACUCCAUGACGCAUGUUGUGGGGUGGAAAGCCUUGUGCGGCUGAGGAUGGGCCCGCGGCCUAUCAGCUUGUUGGUGGGGUGANGGCCUACCGAGGCGACGACGGGUAGCCGGCCUGAGAGGGCGACCGGCCACACUGGGACUGAGACACGGCCCAGACUCCUACGGGAGGCAGCAGUGGGGAAUCUUGCGCAAUGGGCGAAAGCCUGACGCAGCGACGCCGCGUGAGGGAUGAC
rnacentral:rRNA from 1 species